UCUCGGUUUUCCCCUGCUGCCUCGUUAGUCCUGAUCCCGGUCACCUGUGUGUAUAUAUGUUUGCUGUGUGUAUUCAGUCCUUUUCUGGUCAUUGUAGUGUGUAUAUGCGCUGUCUCAUGUUGCAGUUUUUUGUUGCGUUUAGCCUGCUUUGCUCAUUGUGUCUUCCAGUUUCCCUGCUUUUUGGAUUAUUUUCCCUUCUUGGAUUUUUCUGUUGGAUCACCUGGUUUGUCUGAACUGCUAUUAUUUUGGAUUACCUGGACUCAGCUGCUCAUUACAAAGUCCUCCAGCUGUCAUCUGAUGAGCGUGAGAUAGGUGGGGCGCUUCAUCAACGACGGUGAGGCGUUUGAAGGAGAAACAGGGACAUGGACGGGAUUGAACUUCAACAGCCGUGUUGGCGAGCUCACCUAUAUUGAUCUCUCUGGACUCAGGGAGACGAGUGUCUGGUCUCUAUAUCGUGCUAGAUGUUAGAUUCCUCAGUCAAUUGAUUUGAAACUCAUUCCUUUCUGUAACAGGGAGCUAACCUGACCUUGAUGUGCUCCACCAGAGCAUGGCUAUAUACAAUGUGGACUGAGCUAUGGUGCAUAGAGCUCACAUCUGCUAAGCUGUUAACAGUGAAACCAACAAAAAUCUUGACUGACACUCAAGUCAGUGUGCCAAACCCCCCCAGCCCUCCUCAAGUUACUGAUGCUAUGCCUGUCAAGCUUUCUAUUCUGGCUCAACACAUGUGCAGUUUACAAUAACUGCCGCCACAUGACAUUUGCAGUAAUUUUUGAAACAAUGGAUCUUUGAUUUCACAUGGAAAUAAACAAAAGCGAGGUUCUCAUUUUUA